rnacentral:rRNA from 1 species
UACGUAGGGUCCGAGCGUUGUCCGGAAUUAUUGGGCGUAAAGAGCUCGUAGGCGGUUUGUCGCGUCGUCCGUGAAAACCUGCGGCUCAACUGCAGGCUGGCGGUCGAUACGGGCAGGCUGGAGUUCGGUAGGGGAGACUGGAAUUCCUGGUGUAGCGGUGAAAUGCGCAGAUAUCAGGAGGAACACCGGUGGCGAAGGCGGGUCUCUGGGCCGAUACUGACGCUGAGGAGCGAAAGCGUGGGGAGCGAACAGG